rnacentral:rRNA from 1 species
AGUGAACGCUGGCGGUAGGCCUAACACAUGCAAGUCGAGCGGCAGCACAGUAAGAGCUUGCUCUUACGGGUGGCGAGUGGCGGACGGGUGAGGAAUACAUCGGAAUCUACUUUUUCGUGGGGGAUAACGUAGGGAAACUUACGCUAAUACCGCAUACGCCCUACGGGUGAAAGCAGGGGAUCUUCGGACCUUGCGCGAUUGAAUGAGCCGAUGUCGGAUUAGCUAGUUGGCGGGGUAAAGGCCCACCAAGGCGACGAUCCGUAGCUGGUCUGAGAGGAUGAUCAGCCACACUGGAACUGAGACACGGUCCAGACUCCUACGGGAGGCAGCAGUGGGGAAUAUUGGACAAUGGGCGCAAGCCUGAUCCAGCCAUACCGCGUGGGUGAAGAAGGCCUUCGGGUUGUAAAGCCCUUUUGUUGGGAAAGAAAAGCAGCAGGUUAAUACCCCGCUGUUCUGACGGUACCCAAAGAAUAAGCACCGGCUAACUUCGUG